rnacentral:tRNA from 1 species
GAGGGUACAGCUCAAUGGUAGAGCGCAUGAUUAGCACGCACAAGGUCCUGGGUUCUAGUCCCAGUACCUCCA